AGAGUUUGAUCCUGGCUCAGGAUGAACGCUGGCGGCAUGCCUAAUACAUGCAAGUCGAACGAGAGGAAGGAAAGCUUGCUUUUCUGAAUCUAGUGGCGAACGGGUGAGUAACACGUAGGUAACCUGCCCAUGUGCCCGGGAUAACUUCUGGAAACGGAUGCUAAAACCGGAUAGGUAGCAGACAAGCAUUUGACUGCUAUUAAAGUGGCUUUGGCCAUGAACAUGGAUGGACCUGCGGUGCAUUAGCUGGUUGGUGAGGUAACGGCCCACCAAGGCGACGAUGCAUAGCCGGCCUGAGAGGGCGGACGGCCACAUUGGGACUGAGACACGGCCCAAACUCCUACGGGAGGCAGCAGUAGGGAAUUUUCGUCAAUGGGGGGAACCCUGAACGAGCAAUGCCGCGUGAGUGAGGAAGGUCUUCGGAUCGUAAAGCUCUGUUGUAAGAGAAAAACGGCACUCAUAGGGAAUGAUGAGUGAGUGAUGGUAUCUUACCAGAAAGUCACGGCUAACUACGUGCCAGCAGCCGCGGUAAUACGUAGGUGGCGAGCGUUAUCCGGAAUGAUUGGGCGUAAAGGGUGCGUAGGUGGCAGAUCAAGUCUGGAGUAAAAGGUAUGGGCUCAACCCGUACUGGCUCUGGAAACUGAUCAGCUAGAGAACAGAAGAGGACGGCGGAACUCCAUGUGUAGCGGUAAAAUGCGUAGAUAUAUGGAAGAACACCGGUGGCGAAGGCGGCCGUCUGGUCUGGAUUCUGACACUGAAGCACGAAAGCGUGGGGAGCAAAUAGGAUUAGAUACCCUAGUAGUCCACGCCGUAAACGAUGAGAACUAGGUGUUGGGGGAAUAACUCAGUGCCGCAGUUAACGCAGUAAGUUCUCCGCCUGGGGAGUAUGCACGCAAGUGUGAAACUCAAAGGAAUUGACGGGGGCCCGCACAAGCGGUGGAGUAUGUGGUUUAAUUCGACGCAACGCGAAGAACCUUACCAGGUCUUGACAUUGAUCGCUAUUCCAAGAAAUUGGAAGUUCCUCUUCGGAGGACGAGAAAACAGGUGGUGCACGGCUGUCGUCAGCUCGUGUCGUGAGAUGUUGGGUUAAGUCCCGCAACGAGCGCAA
rnacentral:rRNA from 1 species